GGACUUCCGGGUUGGUGCGAACAGCUAAUGGCGGAUUCUCUCCGAGCUCCGGAGGGAAUCGGCUCCGCUGGGGACGGGUCUUGCCGCGACGGCGACGCGGAGACCCUCAAAAACCGCAGGCGCGGAUGCCUGCGGACCUGGUGACUCGGUGGGCACCUUAAGCGCCCCCCCGACCCACGAAGAGCCUUUUUAAAGGCUACGGAGAGGGUACGGAAAGCGGCGUGGUGCUGGGAGUAGACCGCUACCCCAGCGGAGCGGAGCCGUGUGCCAUGGCUGAAGAGCACUGACUUUUUUCCUUAAAUUCGGAACUCGAAAAGAAGCAACCCGUGAGUAGAUUGGAAUUCGGACUUUAAAAUAUCUAUCUGUGAAUUUGAUACGACCGGGGAUGUGUUAAAGGGAAGUCCGCACCCCCCCCUUCUGCAGACGAUUUAAAGCAAUAGCAGGAGAACUAAGUUGGAGAGUCUACCCCUUUGGGGUGAGUUAAAAAGACAUUAACUUUCACGAUUUGAUAAAAGAAGUUUUGAGCUGGAGUGUAAGAGUGGAAUUUUAGAAGUUUUUCUCUUGUGGUGUGUAACCCCCCCCUUCCGGGCCCGGGAGCGUCCUGCCUUUGAGCCUGUUGAAGAGGAAAGGAGUUUGACAGCUGUUAAAGCUGUCAAACGGGCAAUUUAAAGUAAAAAGCGUGUUAUUUAAGAUCUCCCUGGACUAAAUGUGAUACAAUUGAAUUAAAGUGGUUCGAAACAAAGAAACAAAGAACGAGGCAAAGGACUGUUGGGAAAAGAUUACUAAGUAACCAGAUUCCCUCUAGGGGAAUUCUGAGACAUUACAAUGGCUGCGGAUGGAAAUUUACUAGCUGAAAUAGAAAGAAUGUGUUACUUUGUGGGAACUUUACAAGAGCAGAGUCUGGCUAUGAAUAAACAACUUACGACCUUGACUUCUGGAAUAAGCAGCUCUGCUGAAUGUAUUGAGGAUCUGAAUGAGAAAAAGCUGCAGCUGAACCGGAACAGAUAUCUCAAGAAUUGAAGGAGACUAAACAAGGAAAGGAGAAAGCACAGAUGGAAAGUACCAACCAGAAGCCUACACAUGUGGAUUAUAAACAAGAAGACCCUUGGAUUACAUGGAUUACAAAUCUGCAAAAGAUGCGAAAGAUGAAGGAGGAGGCCCCUGGAGUACUUGGAAUUCAAGAACUUAAAAGAAAGAAGAAAUAUGAUGGGGGCCUCCAUUCUGAAUAUGAAGGACUGGUGGAACUUUUGCAGCAGUUGUCUCUAAGUUUUCUUGUGGGAAGAAAAUCUGGCUUGACUGGGACAGAACUCCUUCGAGAUCCGAAGACCAACAUAAAGGACUACCAACAAAACCGGCGGAGAGGGACUGAAAGAGACUUGAAGGCCUCGGAUGUAGAAAUCCAGGCUAAGAACUGUUAUUGUAGAAAUGUACUUGGGAAGGGACGAACCGGGGAUGGGAGGGGGAAAAUAGAAUUUUAAAAACACUUACGAUUUUUGGGUCUAGUCAAUAUGAUUGAUGCUUAAUAAAAAUGGGAAAUCGAUGGAAGGGAAUCUGAGCCCAACUUAGGAUAGAAUUUAAUCUUCUACAAAAGAUGUAAUAUUAACAGGGUAAGGAGGUAAAAUAAUAACUUGCUGACAUAAUUAUGGGAAUUGGGAUGUAUGAAGGGGGGGUGGGGGGAAGUCAAGGACCAAAGUUAAGAAAGUAAGAUUUUUGAAAUU
rnacentral:lncRNA from 1 species